rnacentral:lncRNA from 1 species
GGCUCGGCUUAGAGCUUCAUGUUACAGAGCUGGUGUGGCUGACAAAAUCCCAGUGCCAAUAGGGGGCGCCACAGACUGUGCAGAACUGACUACGCAGAGGCGUGAUCAAGACGGCGGCAGCCAAGCUUCUGCACAGGAUGGAAGGGAGGUAAAGGCUGCAGCGGAGGCAUGGGGAAGUCAGAAGUUGCGGGAUGUAACAGGAUCUGAACACAACUGCCUGCACCACAAGUGUUUUUCAUGGAGCGCUGCCUAAACUACGAAGCAUCACGGAACAAUGCACUUCUAAGUCGGAUGCUUAAUAAAUCAGCCAGGCGUGCAUUAUUAUGCCGCGAAGGACCCCUUGUUGCCUCUUAAUGCUCAAUUAUACAGCGCAGAAUCUGGGUCGGGCUUUCUAUCAUCUCGGAUGUGUGGUGGGAAGGGCCCAGCUCUAAUCGCUCCACGUGGGAAUGGAUUCAUCUGUGUCUUGGAGGAGUAACUCACUUUGAUUGACAUUUAGACGGAAGGGGCCUUACUAGAAUCACAGGCUCAGAGAACUCUAGACCUUGACAGAGACCUUAGAAGUAGUCCUGGUCCAAUCUGCUCAUGCUACAGGUGGGAAAAUUGAGGCUCAGAGAGAGGAAGUUACUUGCCCAAGGUCAUAAAGUAAGUGGCAACUGGGCCGUCGAGUCAGGUCACUGAUUCUGAAUCCAGCAGUUGCUUUCCAGCCACCACUGCCUUUCCUGUGUCUACAGCAGAUGCCACGGACAGGGACGUCCUCCUGCCAUCUGACUCUGAAGCUAAAGACCUUCCGGAAGAAGCUGUGCCUUGUUUGGUUGAAUAAAAAUGGACAACGGGUUAAAAGAACAGCAAACUUCCAUAUGUUAUGGAUCCCUAGGGACUCAGUGAACUCAUGCUCCCAGAUUAAAGGGAAGGGGAAAACCAUGCCCUCUUGCUGAACGAUGCUGCCUGCUGGGUCCCCAGCACCCCAGCGGUCUCCGGAAUGGAGAUCGUCAUGCAUGACAGCUGGAGAGCAUUAUCGCUUGAAGAUGAGAAAACUGAGGACCAGAGAGGAGAAGUCAUUUGUCCGAAUGCACAGGGAUGAUUUACAGCAGAUUUGGAACUAGAAUUCCAGCCUUUGGCUCCUUGUUAGAUGCUUUCUCUGCACUGAGUUUUCCAGGACUCAUCCCAAGCACUGAGUCUCAUGGGCAUCUGUGACCUCAAGGAUGGCUGACAAGUGCGUCCUGGUGGAGUACCAAGAAAGAAGAGGAAAUGGAGCCUUUGUGAAUGGCUGGUGGCCUUUGACACAAGCUCUAAAUGGUAGAAAUUAUUCUUCCCAUUUCACAGUAAUGAAAGCUGGCUGAGCUGAAACCCAGAGCAUAAUUUCUCACUGGCUGGCUGCUCCAGAUAGUAAUAGCUUCAGUGCCCUUCAGAAUGGAAUUUUUCUGAGAUUGUGAAGCUGGGUGAGGUGUGCCUGGCAGUCUGACAAAAUCAACAUCGGUGUGGAAGUCAUGGAAAGCCACAGCACGCUGAAUGGAAAAGAUUAUUCACACCUGUUGUUUGGAAAUCCUUCUCAAAUGAGAAAAUAUCGUCCUCUUUAGGCCAAUGGGAGAAGGGGAGGAAAGUAAAUGAACUUCAAAGAGAAAUGCUGCAAGAUACUUCCCGUCCAGCCCUCCUGCCCUCUUCCAAAUUAUCUUGAUGUCUGUUUCAGCCCUAAGUCAACAUUUUUGGGACCCUAAGAGCAACUUUGAUGAAAAAAGUCUCCAGAAAAUUUGGGACACUCUUGUAAUCACUGGUCAAAAUAAACAGAAAAUUGAUGAGAAUGUGUAAGUGGUAGUUUUGAACAGCAACCAUUUUUUUUUAGUUCACGAUUUGCAUGUUGGCCAUCUGGGCUGGGCUCAGUGAGUGGUUCUGCUGAUCUAGACAUGGGGAUUGGCUAGCCUGGUCUGGGGCUCAAGUCAUGUGUCUGCAGUCAGCAGCUGGGUCAGUUAGGGGCUGCCUGGCCAUCAGCUGGGUGCCUUGGUUCUACUUCUUGUGGUCUUUCAUCCUUCAGCAGGGCACCCCGGGCAAAAGGGGGAACCCCAAAGAGCAUGCACUUUUUAAGCUUCUGCUUACGGCAUGUUAGCUAAUGUCCCAUUGGCCGGAGCAAACCCCAAGGCCGGCCAGAAUCAAGGGGUAGAGAAAUAGACUCUAUCUACCUCUUCAUGGGAGUUCCUGCAAGGACACGUUGUAUAGGAAUAUGGAAACAGGGAGGGGAAGACUUUGUGGCCAGUUUUAAAGUCAAGUUCCCCUCCUAUUUCAACCGUUCGCUGAACAGCGCUUACAACUUUUGUCAUGUUUACAUACCGUCCUUGUUAGUUUUCUUUAAAUCAACUUCAACUUAAACAAAAUACCUAUUUUAGCC